GUUGAGAACAAAUAUAUUGCUAAUUUCUUAAAAUUUGAUGUUACACCAACUUUUGCGUGCGAGACAACAAUACAAACAAAUUAAACAAAAUAAGUGACCAUUUUCGCCAUUAAUCAUAUAUUCUUCUUCAUUAUUGAAAACACUGGUCUACAGUGGUUUUCUUGCACUAGAUGUAAGAUCAAUAUUGGACAUAUUUGUGCUCACAAUUCGUGAUACUAUUAAUGAUUUUCACUGAUUAAUCUGCACUGGUUUGAUUUUUUAUCUUAAUUUGUAUGUUACAUAAAAAAAUUGUAAACAAAGUAACAGGUAAAUUUAUAAUGUCAGUUUUGAUUAGAAAAAUACUCGUAAGAGUACAUCGAAGUAUACAGAGAGAAAAAUGUCGAAAACAUAUCUUCUAUUCCAAUAAAACUUCAUUUAUGGGCUUCCUUUUAUAAUUUUGCAAUCAACAAUGUCCUUUUAAAGACGAGCAUUCCAGAUCCAGGUGGCACCGCUCGCUCUGUUCCUGACUAUAAUUUCUUAAAUUAUUCAAAAAUUUAACCAGAUCAGUGUGGAGAUGGCUUAACUUUGUAUUCAUAUUUGCUGCUAGAGUCCGAAAAUUUAUGAUUACUUAGAAAAUUUUUGACUAUCAACAAUUAUCUUUUCGGAGGAAAGUGAAAGUGGAGUUCACGUGAUGUUUGUAUGCGCGAAAAAGAAAUGUGCCCGUGAAGGGUAUUAUAUAAUGACUUUCAGCAGGCAAGAAGCAUUUCACAGACUGCCGAAUGACGAAUGAUGUAUCUAUGUUUUAUCUAAUAAUGAAAAGAAAUAUGAAUGAUUUAAUACUUUUUGAAAUGUCAAUAAACCAAUGUAGAAAAACUUGCAAUGCUUUACGCUCUAAAGUAAA